rnacentral:misc_RNA from 1 species
GAAAUAUUUAAAAAACACAAGUUGAAGCUUAAAAAAAACAAACACAAGUUGAAUAAAAGAGCAUAUAAGCUGACCAUCCGAAAGAAAAGUAAAUAAAAUCAGACUUCCAAGCUGUAUUGGAAUUUUAAUCUUUCCCGAGAUAUACAACCUAGUAAUGUGCUUCAAACAUUACAAUGCCAAGAAUCUCAGAGAAUAAUAGUAAAUAACCAGGUUUCCACUAGUAGUAACUAUUUGAGCUGUCAUCAU